GACGAGGGAUCCUAGCGUUGCUCGGAAUUAUUGGGCGUAAGCGGGUGUAGGUGGCUUGGUAAGUCGGGUGUGAAAGCCCAGGGCUCAACCCUGGAAGUGCAUUCGAUACUGCUAAGCUUGAGUGCGAGAGAGGUUAAUAGAAUACCUGGUGUAGUGGUGAAAUACGUAGAUAUCAGGUGGAACACCGGAGGCGAAGGCGGUUAACUGGCUCGACACUGACACUGAGACCCGAAAGUGCGGGGAUCAAACAGG
rnacentral:rRNA from 1 species